GACGAACGCUGGCGGCGUGCUUAACACAUGCAAGUCGAACGAAGCUUGAUUACGGAUUCUUCGGAUGAAGUAUGAUAUGACUGAGUGGCGGACGGGUGAGUAACGCGUGAGUAACCUGCCCUUCAGAGGGGGAUAGCGUUCGGAAACGAACGGUAAUACCGCAUAAUGUAUUUUGACCGCAUGAUCGAAAUACCAAAGAUUUAUCGCUGAAGGAUGGACUCGCGUCUGAUUAGGUAGUUGGUGGGGUAACGGCCUACCAAGCCGACGAUCAGUAGCCGGACUGAGAGGUUGAUCGGCCACAUUGGGACUGAGACACGGCCCAGACUCCUACGGGAGGCAGCAGUGGGGAAUAUUGCACAAUGGGCGCAAGCCUGAUGCAGCAACGCCGCGCGAAGGAAGACGGUUUUCGGAUUGUAAACUUCUGUUCUUAGUGAAGAAUAAUGACGGUAGCUAAGGAGCAAGCCACGGCUAACUACGUG
rnacentral:rRNA from 1 species